rnacentral:rRNA from 1 species
AUUUGGUCGUAGACCCGAAACCAGGUGAUCUACCCUUGGUCAGGUUGAAGUUCAGGUAACACUGAAUGGAGGACCGAACCGACUUACGUUGAAAAGUGAGCGGAUGAACUGAGGGUAGCGGAGAAAUUCCAAUCGAACCUGGAGAUAGCUGGUUCUCUCCGAAAUAGCUUUAGGGCUAGCCUCAAGUGAUGAUUAUUGGAGGUAGAGCACUGUUUGGACGAGGGGCCCCUCUCGGGUUACCGAAUUCAGACAAACUCCGAAUGCCAAUUAAUUUAACUUGGGAGUCAGAACAUGGGUGAUAAGGUCCGUGUUCGAAAGGGAAACAGCCCAGACCACCAGCUAAGGUCCCAAAAUAUAUGUUAAGUGGAAAAGGAUGUGGCGUUGCCCAGACAACUAGGAUGUUGGCUUAGAAGCAGCCAUCAUUUAAAGAGUGCGUAAUAGCUCACUAGUCGAGUGACACUGCGCCGAAAAUGUACCGGGGCUAAACAUAUUACCGAAGCUGUGGAUUGUCCUUUGGACAAUGGUAGGAGAGCGUUCUAAGGGCGUUGAAGCAUGAUCGUAAGGACAUGUGGAGCGCUUAGAAGUGAGAAUGCCGGUGUGAGUAGCGAAAGACGGGUGAGAAUCCCGUCCACCGAUUGACUAAGGUUUCCAGAGGAAGGCUCGUCCGCUCUGGGUUAGUCGGGUCCUAAGCUGAGGCCGACAGGCGUAGGCGAUGGAUAACAGGUUGAUAUUCCUGUACCACCUAUAAUCGUUUUAAUCGAUGGGGGGACGCAGUAGGAUAGGCGAAGCGUGCGAUUGGAUUACACGUCUAAGCAGUAAGGCUGAGUAUUAGGCAAAUCCGGUACUCGUUAAGGCUGAGCUGUGAUGGGGAGAAGACAUUGAGUCUUCGAGUCGUUGAUUUCACACUGCCGAGAAAAGCCUCUAGAUAGAAAAUAGGUGCCCGUACCGCAAACCGACACAGGUAGUCAAGAUGAGAAUUCUAAGGUGAGCGAGCGAACUCUCGUUAAGGAACUCGGCAAAAUGACCCCGUAACUUCGGGAGAAGGGGUGCUCUUUAGGGUUAACGCCCAGAAGAGCCGCAGUGAAUAGGCCCAAGCGACUGUUUAUCAAAAACACAGGUCUCUGCUAAACCGUAAGGUGAUGUAUAGGGGCUGACGCCUGCCCGGUGCUGGAAGGUUAAGAGGAGUGGUUAGCUUCUGCGAAGCUACGAAUCGAAGCCCCAGUAAACGGCGGCCGUAACUAUAACGGUCCUAAGGUAGCGAAAUUCCUUGUCGGGUAAGUUCCGACCCGCACGAAAGGCGUAACGAUUUGGGCACUGUCUCAACGAGAGACUCGGUGAAAUCAUAGUACCUGUGAAGAUGCAGGUUACCCGCGACAGGACGGAAAGACCCCGUGGAGCUUUACUGUAGCCUGAUAUUGAAAUUCGGCACAGCUUGUACAGGAUAGGUAGGAGCCUUUGAAACGUGAGCGCUAGCUUACGUGGAGGCGCUGGUGGGAUACUACCCUAGCUGUGUUGGCUUUCUAACCCGCACCACUUAUCGUGGUGGGAGACAGUGUCAGGCGGGCAGUUUGACUGGGGCGGUCGCCUCCUAAAAGGUAACGGAGGCGCUCAAAGGUUCCCUCAGAAUGGUUGGAAAUCAUUCAUAGAGUGUAAAGGCAUAAGGGAGCUUGACUGCGAGACCUACAAGUCGAGCAGGGUCGAAAGACGGACUUAGUGAUCCGGUGGUUCCGCAUGGAAGGGCCAUCGCUCAACGGAUAAAAGCUACCCCGGGGAUAACAGGCUUAUCUCCCCCAAGAGUUCACAUCGACGGGGAGGUUUGGCACCUCGAUGUCGGCUCAUCGCAUCCUGGGGCUGUAGUCGGUCCCAAGGGUUGGGCUGUUCGCCCAUUAAAGCGGUACGCGAGCUGGGUUCAGAACGUCGUGAGACAGUUCGGUCCCUAUCCGUCGUGGGCGUAGGAAAUUUGAGAGGAGCUGUCCUUAGUACGAGAGGACCGGGAUGGACAUACCUCUGGUGUACCAGUUGUCGUGCCAACGGCAUAGCUGGGUAGCUAUGUAUGGACGGGAUAAGUGCUGAAAGCAUCUAAGCAUGAAGCCCCCCUCAAGAUGAGAUUUCCCAACUUCGGUUAUAAGAUCCCUCAAAGAUGAUGAGGUUAAUAGGUUCGAGGUGGAAGCAUGGUGACAUGUGGAGCUGACGAAUACUAAUCGAUCGAAGACUUAAUCAA